CAGCCGCCGCGGUAAUACGAAGGGUGCAAGCGUUACUCGGAAUUACUGGGCGUAAAGCGUGCGUAGGUGGUGGUUUAAGUCCGUUGUGAAAGCCCUGGGCUCAACCUGGGAAUUGCAGUGGAUACUGGGUCACUAGAGUGUGGUAGAGGAUAGUGGAAUUUCCGGUGUAGCAGUGAAAUGCGUAGAGAUCGGAAGGAACAUCUGUGGCGAAGGCGACUAUCUGGGCCAACACUGACACUGAGGCACGAAAGCGUGGGUAGCAAACAGGAUUAGAUACCCCGGUAGUCCCUGUCUCUUAUAA
rnacentral:rRNA from 1 species